ensembl:lncRNA
GUGCAUUUCCCCUGUGGAUUUUAAAUCUAUAGUUCAAUAUUUUGUAAUAUAUCUGUGUGUUAUUGUAGUACAUAAAGGAAUAUACAGAAUAUCAGAUUCCCACUUCCUUUAAUUAAAACACAGACGUGUAUCAAUGUGAAAAAACUGAACAGAUAACAGAAUGAUGUGCUUUGCUACUGCCUCGUCUAUAUAUCGGUUACGACAGCAUAUGACGUGUCGCUGUAGACUUGGGAAGAUGCGUGAUCUCCUUAUGUCUGUCUCUCUUUCACUCCCAAAUCCCUCUCUCCUAUUAUGGAAGUUUUUAUAAAUGAAGGUAAGGACUUCUGUUCUCAGUUCAGUCAGGUUGUCUUUAUGCUGUGUGCAUUAACAUGGCUUACUUCUGUUAGCUUAAAGAGAAUAAAUGCUAGGCCGAGUCAACUCUUCAGUGCUUCUUAAAACAUGCUGUGAUUGUUACGCAGAGCAAGUGAUGGCAAUGAUUCUGUCUACAAGCACAGAAAACUGUUAAAGCUAUGAUUUAUGUUUAUGGUGAAGCGUCAGGAAAUGUUCUGUUACUGUUCAUUUCAGGAAGAACACAAUUAGGAGUCACACCUUAUGAAAAUAUUCCAAAAAGGUGAAAUGGUCCUUGGAUAUUCGCACAAAAGACCCCUGUUUAAUCCAGAGGAAUCCUGGGAAAUUUGGUGAUUUUAUUGGUGUAUGAUUUUGAAUAAGAUUCUGAUGGAGUCUGGCAGUGGUGUGUGUUAUAUGUUACAUGUUUGUUGUGUCUUUUACUCGACAUGGUAAACGUCUCUGCCUACGUUAUUGCAGUGCAGUGGGGUUACGCACAGGAGCAUUGUGGGAAAGAAGCUGGCUGAUGGAAGUGGAAUCUCACUGACUGAUCAGAGUCCUUCACGUAAACAUGAUCUGAAAAUGCUUUUUAUCUUUCUAUUUCAUCCCUGGAUUAAAAUGUAAUAUACAGUGAGGGAAAAAAGUAUUUGAUCCCCUGCUGAUUUUGUACGUUUGCCCACUGACAAAGAAAUGAUCAGUGUAUAAUUUUAAUGGUAGUUGUAUUUGAACAGUGAGAGACAGAA